rnacentral:rRNA from 1 species
UACGUAGGGCGCAAGCGUUAUCCGGAAUUAUUGGGCGUAAAGCGCGUGUAGGCGGCUUUGCAAGUCGGGUGUGAAAGCCCUCAGCUCAACUGAGGAAGUGCGCCCGAAACUGCAGAGCUUGAGUGCCGGAGAGGGUGGCGGAAUUCCCCAAGUAGAGGUGAAAUUCGUAGAUAUGGGGAGGAACACCGGUGGCGAAGGCGGCCACCUGGACGGUAACUGACGCUGAGACGCGAAAGCGUGGGGAGCAAACAGG